CUGAGCUCAUGUCCUAGAUGUCCUUCAGCUCUAAAGAGGUGAGAUCAGAGGCCGUGGUCUCAGAAGCAGGAAGGAGGCUGGGGCCCAAGGAGGGAACUGUCGUCCCACAGCCAGGAGAGGCAUUUAACAUAUUUACUCACCAGUUUGCCAUGGAUCUAUCCAAAUCAGCAUCAGACCCCAGCUGGACCAUGUCUGGAAGGCCCUUGUCAUACCUCUGGACCAAGAGUUGACAAAUUUCAUAAAUGAUGACAAAGGCAGCCUAUGGAACGAUGACAUUCUAGGGUACCAGCCUGGGAAGAAAUAUCUUAGAAUGCAAACUUCCUCAAACACAGGGACCCUGGAUUUUAGGUGUUUGACUUGGUGAUCUCUGAAUGGGGCUGAGCACAGGAAAUACUAAAGAGCUACAAAUACUCAGAGAGAACAGGAAGGGCUGAGCUCCCGUUGGCCACUUGACAUAGUGCCAGCUUUCUUCAGGGUCCUACUCCACCCCUGCCAAGUUUCCAGUGAACCACAACAUCAUAGAAUCAAUUACAUUCUCGCGACUGUUAAUAUGGCACCGUGAGGUUCACACAGGCUCUCAACCAAGCCUUUCACCACCCCAGCAAGGAAAAUUCAGAACGCUUUACUGAGACUGGGAAACUGAUGCCCAGAAAGAGGCCCCAAGACACACAGUUAGUCAAGGGGAAAACAGGCUAGCAGUCAACAGUUUGGUCUUGCAGUCAGAAGAAUCUGCAUUGAAAUCCUUACUGGCUCCCCUCAGUUUGUUACCUUACUGUCUGAGUUUGUUUCCUCCUCUGCAAUACGGUACAUGCUUCCGGAACAAGGCUCCAGGGCCACCCUGCCAGGGAUCCUAGGUCAACCACUUAGCAGCUGAGUGAUCAUGGGCUGGUUACUUAACCACUCUGUGCCCUGGUUUACUCAUCUAUAAAAUGAGGAUAAUAUUUGUACCCACCACACGCACAACAUGCGUUACUCUCACAGACAUACGUUAAAAACAAAGAAGUCGGACCCAAAAAGGCACAUCCUGCAUGAUUCAUUUAUCUGAUGUUCGAAAACAAGCCAACUGUUUAGUGGGAAUGGGGCUUCCUUUUGGGGUGAUGAAAAUGUUUUGGAGACACAGAGAGGUGAUGGUUGCCCAAUAUCGUGAAUGUGUUCAAUGUCACUGGAUUAUUUUCUUUAAAAUGGCUAAUUUUGUAAAUAAUGUGAAUUUCACCUUAAUUUUUAAAAAUAAUUAAGUUAUUAAUUUUGAAAGUCAGCCAAACUCAUUGACAAUGCUGGAAAUCAAAAUAGUGGUUACCUUCUUGAGGAGAGGGUGGUGGUAAUGACCGAGAACGGCCAUGAGGAAGGCUUGGGGAAAACUUCUAUAGCUUAACCCAGGUGGUGGGGGCAUGGGGACACAUAGGUAAAAACUGAUUAAGCUCUGUGCUUAAGAUUUUUGCACUUGCAGGGCUAUUGUGAAAUUAAGUGAGGUAAUCCAUGUCUAGCUCUUUAAACAACCCUGACACAUAACAAAUGCUCAAUAAUUAGUAACUCUGGCUGGGCACGGUGGCUCACACCUGUAAUCCCAGCACUUUGGGAGGCUGAGGUGGGUGGAUCACCUGAGGUCAGGAGUUCAAGACCAGCCUGGCCAACAUGUUGAAACCCAUUUCUACUAAAAAUACAAAAAUUAGCCGGGCGUGGUGGCACAUGCCCAUGGUUCCAGCUACUCGGGAGGCUGAGGCAGAAGAAUCACUUGAACCUGGGAGGCAGAGGUUGCAGUGAGCCAAGAACGCACCACUGCACUCCAAACUGGGUGACAGAGCAAGACUCUGUCUCAAAAAAAUAAUAAUAAUAAAGAAAGAAAAUUAGUAACUCUUAUUAGUGUCAUCAUUAUCGUAUGCAGUCUGGAAGGUUGGAUGAGAUGAUACACAUAAGGCACUUAGGCAGGAGUUUUGUAUAUGCCCCAAUAGAGGCAAUUUUCACUAAUAUUAAAUCAAACCCAAACCUCUGGCUCAAGAUUCAGAGUGCUUUGCAAAGUGCUGUCCUGCCCACUCCUAGGGAUUGGUUUGACAUGUGCUAUGUGGAAGAGAGCCAAGGAUUUAAGGAUUAGGGCUUGGUACACCGCAGCACAGCCUCUGGAUAAGCUGGCUUCCCUCCCUCAGGCGAGUCUGGGUACAAAGUAAACCAGUUGCCAUCACAAAGGCAGACUUUGGAAGAGAACAGUCACCUCACAUUCACGCAAAGGUCGAUGGUAUCUGAGAAAGAAUGGGCCAAGUUAAAUCUAGCUUUUAUUGUCCCCUGACUGGUGGGGGACUACCCUGCUCAUUAAUCUGCUCAUUUGAUUGGCAUCCUUUCCUGCCCAAUUCCCUUUGACUGGCAUGCUUCAUGCAGACCCAAAAGAAUAAUCUUCCCUUCAUUGGGCCACACAAUCCCAGGUACAUAUCCGCCUCUCCAACACCUAUGAUGUGGGGCCGUGCUCAUACAUCGGGUAUCUCUCCUUCCAAAUCCCAGACAAGAGCCCUGUUUCAGUCAACUUUUCAGCUCAAGGGUGGCUCCUGGAACACAGCAGGGACUAAAUGUGUAAAGGAGAAAGGGACAGAGGGAGAGGCUCCCUAGUUGGGUAGAUCCUUUCUUUUUUCUUUUUUCUUUUUUUUUUUUUUUUGAGACGGAGACUUGCUCUAUCGCCCAGGCUGG
rnacentral:lncRNA from 1 species